UGUUCGGUUAGUUCCUUUCCUCCGGCCGAUCUCUUUUUUUUCUUCUGGCACGGUCCAACAGACACUCCUGGCACUUGGCUUCCCGGGGGCUGCUCGCCCCCGGCCCAGAGGCCGGUUUCCAGCGGCAGGCCUUAUUCCACCAUCUUUGCAGCUUCCAAUUCUUUUCAUGUUAAGUUGUUUUUUGGAGAGAUAUAUAAAUUUAUUUUGGUGUUUCCUGUGAUCUCUGGGAUCCUGAUCCGCACCACUCAACUUUGGCCUCCUAAACUUCAUCCUUGACCCCACCCCAGCUAUCAUAGUGUGAAAUUUCACAGCCAAAACUUCUGCAUCAGCUUCAUAAGGCAGGAAGCCUACAAAUUCCCCUCUUAUGUUUUGAGACUCAUCAACAAACCUCACCGAGACUCAUCAACAAAUCUCACCAACAUAGGACCUCUUGACCAGAAUUUAUCCAGCACUCCAGCACGGCUUGCACGUUAUCUGGAGUAAAGAGACCUUCUGGGAUUUCAUCAGCCUCCUGUCCAUCAAGAGUUCUUCCAGUUUUUGACUGACUGAAUUUUCAGUGAACUGUGUGUCUAACUGAAGCUUUGAGAGAGAGAGAGAGAGAAAGAAGGAAAAAAAGAAAAGGUUUUACUUCACUUGAACUUGUUAAAAAGGAAGAGACACAGAUCCAGCAUAGUAGAAGGAGAAAGAAAGCAGACAACAGUUUGGAAUGGAGGCAUUGAGACGGAAGAGUCCAUUGGAGAUGGAAUGUACACACAAAAAUAACAAUUUAGGUCCUUUGCUCAUGCAACAUCUUGUUCUAAUGUCCUCUGCUCCAGGUCACAACAUUGAGCUACAAAGUGUGUGCAGUGACUCCAGUCUGCAUUCAUGCUACAAGAUGAUCCGUUUAGUAAGACUGAGCAAGGCUUGUUAACCUCUUGGACGUGAGAGAUUUCCCCUGAGAAAAUAUAUAAAACAAGAGAAAAGAAAGAAAAUCAAGUACGAUCACUGAAAACCUGCUUAGUAGUAGCAACUAUUUACUGUAGCUGAUUUUUGUGCAAGGUCAACACUGAACCCUUUAAGUCCAUCUUAGUUCAAACCUCAUGACCAACCUGCCUUCCCCCCUCCCUCCCUCCACUGACACGUCAAACAAAACUAUCCUCCCUCCCUCCACCCUCCUACCCCUCCCAAAUCCUUCCUCCCCACUGCAAACAGACUGAUGGUUUCACAGCACAGAUUAGCAAAUCAUAAAACAUAUCCAUAAAUGCUCCAUCAAGGCUUAGCAAUGAAGCAACACCUAGGUUCCCAACUGAUUAUAAACAUGUUACAACAAAUCUUAGUAAGCUGCUCUGAAAGAUAAUGUGAGUGCAUUCUUGUUCAAUGGCUGAAAUUAAUGUCACAUUUAUAAAUAUCUAGAAAUGUAGAGGAUACGAUUUAAUUAAAUAAAAUGCAGUUUUUGAGGGUGUGAUUCAUGAAACUCAAGAUUGAGUCUGUUCCCUAUCUUACAUAAUAAUGGAUAAAAAGGUGCCAAUUAUAUAUCUGAAGAUA
rnacentral:lncRNA from 1 species